GCCGGGGUCGCCUAGCCCGGUUAGGGCGGCGGCCUGCUAAGCCGCUGGGGUCCGUCCCCGCGCGGGUUCAAAUCCCGCCCCCGGCG
rnacentral:tRNA from 2 species